UUCAUAAUCAUUUAUGAAAUGUAGACUAUACCUUAAACUUGAAAUAUAUUCAAGUCCAUUACCAUCUAGUCGUUGAACAUCAUACCAAUAAUGGUACUUAGCUGCUGAUUAUCUUAGCUGAUAACAUUAUUACUUUUUUUUGAGUAGUUAUCUAAGAAAGAUUUUCCAGCAAUUUGAUGAUGUCGCCAUAUAUUAUGACUAACAAUGUAAUAUUGUUUUCAGACUCUAAAACAACUUAAAGUCAAUUC
rnacentral:ncRNA from 1 species